CUUUCUAUUGGAGAAUGGUAUUUAGAACCCAAGAUAUUGACAUGAGGAACCAGAUAAGGAAGAACAGUGUCACAUGAGGGAAAACUUCCUAGCAGUUGGAGAUGCCCAACAAUGAGUGAUCACAUUGUUUUAAAAGUGAGACUCCCAUUGCUGAUCACCCUGGAGAUUUCUGCAUGGGGGCACCCUGAACUUGAAAAUCUCUGAAGUGCCUCGCAAGAUUCAGGGCACUAAGGUCCAAAGGAGUGAAGAUUGGCAAACUGAUAAUAACUCCCCAAAUCUAUUACACUGACAUGUAUCAUCAAAUUAAUAAAUUCCAUAAAAAUAC
rnacentral:lncRNA from 1 species